ACACAAUGUGUAGUCUUUUGAGUCUGGAUUUACUCACUCAGCAUAACGCAUUUGAGGUUCAUCCAUGUGGUGGAAGUGGGACAGCUGGAUGACCAUGACAUUGGACCUCCAGUAGUGCUCGUGAAGCGAUGCAUCUUGGAAAGGAGGAUCUGCCUGCGUUCCUGACAUCACCCUUGGGAUUUCUCCUCUGCUCUCCAGGCCUCUGGCUCUCCCUGCUGGUUCUGUGCUGGGUCACCUGCCACUGCUCAGCCUGCAUGCCCUGCAGAAGUUGGCUGGAGCCAGCUGGUGGUGACUUGCCAGAGACUCUGGUUAAAUAGGAAUUUUGCAAGCUGGUUGUUAAACCAUUGGUAGCUUGAAAUCA
rnacentral:lncRNA from 10 species